rnacentral:rRNA from 1 species
ACGGAGGGCGCAAGCGUUGCUCGGAAUCACUGGGCGUAAAGCGAACGCAGGCGGUCUGUUAAGUUGGGUGUGAAAUCCCGGGGCUCAACCCCGGAACUGCAUUCAAAACUGGCAGCCUUGAGUAUGGGAGAGGGAAGCGGAAUUCCUGGUGUAGAGGUGAAAUUCGUAGAUAUCAGGAGGAACAUCAGUGGCGAAAGCGGCUUCCUGGCCCAAUACUGACGCUCAUGUUCGAAAGCGUGGGGAGCAAACAGG